CCUUCACAACUAAAAUCCAGAAGACCAUCACUCUGUCAGACACACAUGAUGGACUCACCAUCAGCUGUUCUGUCACAUAUCCUGUGAAUGAAGGAAGAGGAGUCAAGACAGCAGAGGAGACAAAGACUCUCAGUGUCUCAUAUGAUCCAGAGUUUGGGGUUGAUGUCUACGUUACAGUGAAGAUCCUGGGAAUCAUCACACUCUACAGUACACUCAUCAUCUUUGAGUGCUGGUUGAGAUCACGGUGCUGCAACAAACCAGUGAAGGACGCAGGAGAAGAAGACUACGUCAACAAAGUGAUUGAGAUUCAAGCAACAUGUAGAAGAAGAAGACAUGAUCACCAUGAAUGGAAUAUUUCUCUCAUUCUUAUUCCUCCCAUUCUUAAAUAUUAAAUGGCUUUACUUUGCUGAAAAUUGGUUCAAUGAACAAAGGACGGAGUGCAAAGAGGACAGAAGAUGACAUGAAUAUAAUGUACUGUAGCUUCAUCAUUAGUU